GGAUUGUGUCGCUUAGUUUGAUGGUAAAUAUUGCGUGUUUUGAGAUUCAGUAUUGUGAUUGGUGAUCUGGUGUUGUGCUAAGCGUUGAUGGAUGUUAUGCUGUAAUUAGCUACUCUGUUUUCUCAUUGACUUGUAUAAUCCAUACAUGGUUUGCUGUGACCAGGAAUCCUUUUCUUCUUUCUUCUUUGUAUUUAAUUCUCUUUGUUCAAAUCAUUGGAACACCGUCAUGUAAUAUUUACUUGCUAAAGUUUGCUUCUUUUUCCAUUGUUGAAAUGUUUACGCUAAUGUCCUGUUUUGAGAAAAUAGCUCCACUAUUUUACAUUACUUUAAUUCUAGUUAAGAAAGUAGCAUAAGAACAAAAUUUGGCUACUAAAUAGUAGAUUAUAAAUAUAUUUUUGUUUGAUUCCAACAUGAAAGAAUGUUCUUAAUGCCAAUCCUGUCCUCGCUUUUCAUUUAUGCUUCCCAGUUUGAGAUUGUCUUUUGUUACAUGGUUCUUUUUACCAGGAAUUAACAUAUGUUUAUCUUUUGUGCAGUACGCUAGGCUGGCUGAUCAUCCUAGCCAUGGAUAGCAGUGUUUACUCCGUGUGUUUGGGUGAUUCUUGGUAACUAUUUGGCUUCAAGAAUAUCAAGCAUGGGAAACUAUUCAAAGCAUAAGUGGCUUUGCAGACUGGAUUACCGCGUUUCUAGAUGUUUCAUGUGAGCUGUCUGGAGUUGGUGAUACGUUGAAUCACCAGGUUUUCUGCAGAAUAUUGUAUCGGUUAAUCAAAAAGCUUAUAGAAUUUUCAGGAGUUAAGGUGGUGAUACCUGGUGGGAAUGUUUUGGUUGAAGACUUAACUCUCUGAGUAGAAACAGGCUCUAACCUUUUGAUCUAAGGAUAAAUGACAAGGCAGGACCUGGAGCGCUAAGGCUGAUGCAUCACUUACAAGGAAGAACACGGGGACAAGGAGACGCCGCCAUCAGGCAUCACCUAGCCGCCGUCCCAUGUUGCACGAGUUGUGUUGUAUGCGCCUUUGGCUUUGUUUUAUUUGUUGUGUGUUGUGAAUGUCCGUAAAAGAUGGAAGAUGUUGGCAAAUUUUCUUGCUGAUGUAUAUUAGUUGUUAUUCUUGAUUGUUCGAUCU